GAUGAACGCUGGCGGCGUGCCUAAUACAUGCAAGUCGAGCGGUAAGGCCCCUUCGGGGGUACACGAGCGGCGGACGGGUGAGUAACGCGUGGGUAACCUGCCUCAUACAGGGGGAUAACAGUUGGAAACGGCUGCUAAAACCGCAUAACAUUGCGAUGCCGCAUGGCGAUGCAAUUAAAUAUUUAUAGGUAUGAGAUGGGCCCGCGUCUGAUUAGCUAGUUGGUGAGGUAAUGGCUCACCAAGGCGACGAUCAGUAGCCGGCUUGAGAGAGUGACCGGCCACAUUGGGACUGAGACACGGCCCAAACUCCUACGGGAGGCAGCAGUGGGGAAUAUUGCACAAUGGGGGAAACCCUGAUGCAGCGACGCCGCGUGAGUGAAGAAGUAUUUCGGUAUGUAAAGCUCUAUCAGCAGGGAAGAAAUUGACGGUACCUGACUAAGAAGCCCCGGCUAACUACGUGCCAGCAGCCGCCGUAACAC
rnacentral:rRNA from 1 species